rnacentral:lncRNA from 1 species
CAUCAUAGCCCCUCAGAUGCUUCACUCGCCACCUCCUGCCAUCGUGACACCCUCUUCCUCUCCCAUUACAUCACUCUCUUCCAUCGUGCCGCCUCCUUUCCCUCGUAUUCCACCAUAUCUCUCUACUAUGAUCUCAGGAGCUUUUACUACUCAACCACCAUAUUCUGCUUCCAUUCCACCUUUCAUUCCUACCACUUUCACUACUCCACUCUCUUCCUCCACUAUGCCAUCAUCAUUUCCUAUAUAUCCAUCACUUUAUUUUCAAUAUCCAAAUACCAUACCAUACACACC